GAGGGUAUAGCUCAGUGGUAGAGCGCAUGCCUAGCAUGCAUGAGGUCCUGGAUUCAAUCCCCAGCACCUCCC
rnacentral:tRNA from 1 species